GCAAGUCAAACGGAAUGUAGCAAUACAUUCAGUGGCGAACGGGUGAGUAACGCGUGGAUAAUCUACCUACGAGAUGGGGAUAACUAUUAGAAAUAGUAGCUAAUACCGAAUAAAGUCAAUUGAGAUGUUAAUUGAUGAAAGGAAGCCUUUAAAGCUUCGCUUGUAAAUGAGUCUGCGUCUUAUUAGCUAGUUGGUAGGGUAAGAGCCUACCAAGGCUAUGAUAAGUAACCGGCCUGAGAGGGUGAUCGGUCACACUGGAACUGAGAUACGGUCCAGACUCCUACGGGAGGCAGCAGCUAAGAAUCUUCCGCAAUGGGCGAAAGCCUGACGGAGCGACACUGCGUGAACGAAGAAGGUCGAAAGAUUGUAAAGUUCUUUUAUAAAUGAGGAAUAAGCUUUGUAGGAAAUGACUAAGUGAUGACGUUAGUUUAUGAAUAAGCCCCGGCUAAUUACGUGCCAGCAGCCGCGGUAAUACGUAAGGGGCGAGCGUUGUUCGGGAUUAUUG
rnacentral:rRNA from 1 species